GACGAACGCUGGCGGCGUGCCUAAUACAUGCAAGUUGAGCGCUGAAGGCUGGUACUUGUACCAACAGGAUGAGCAGCGAACGGGUGAGUAACGCGUGGGGAAUCUGCCUUUGAGCGGGGGACAACAUUUGGAAACGAAUGCUAAUACCGCAUAAAAACUUUAAACACAAGUUUUAAGUUUGAAAGAUGCAAUUGCAUCACUCAAAGAUGAUCCCGCGUUGUAUUAGCUAGGUGGUGAGGUAAAGGCUCACCAAGGCGAUGAUACAUAGCCGACCUGAGAGGGUGGUUAGCCGGAUUGGGAGGGAGACAGGGCCCAAAGGGCUACGGGAAGCAGCCGGAGUGAAACGUGGGGAAUGGGCGAAAGUCUGAGCGCGAUAGGCCGAAGGAGUGAAGAAGGAUGCCGGGUCGGGAAACACGGUUUUUAGGGAAGAACGUGGGUGAGAGUGGAACGCACAGUAAGUGACGGUAACUACUAAAAAAGCACCGGCUAACUACGUG
rnacentral:rRNA from 1 species